rnacentral:rRNA from 1 species
GAGAUGAGGACUCCCACCCACUUGAUGGGGUAAGGCUCCCAGUAGACGACUGGGUUGAUAGGCCGGAUCUGGAAGCACGGUAACGUGUGGAGGUGACCGGUACUAAUAGGCCGAGGGCUUGUCCU